CUGGGACUGUGUUUCGGAUCUCAGCUUCUAAAGUGUCAGCUGAAGCCACAGAGGGUUGGGUGAGCUACUGCUCCAUGCAUAAUUUCUUUGAUGGCUGCAGAUGAAUAUGUCGUGUGGCAGCAACUAAAGGACAUGAAAGAGAGGGAAUACAUUUUCCAUUAAAAAUAACCAAAAUGUUCUUCGACUUCUGUUUCCUGCAACUACUGCAUUACGUAAACACCACAUCAAAAUGCCUGCAGAGACUUGGAUGGCACAGCAGCAUCUUUUGGUCUUAUCUACAGCUCCCUCCAAGGUACAUUCCAUUUGUGAAACCUGAAGCCAAAUCUGAAUGGAGCUGA
rnacentral:lncRNA from 1 species